UCCAGACUCCUACGGGAGGCAGCAGUGGGGAAUAUUGCACAAUGGGGGAAACCCUGAUGCAGCAACGCCGCGUGAGUGAAGAAGUAUUUCGGUAUGUAAAGCUCUAUCAGCAGGGAAGAAGAAGGACGGUACCUGACUAAGAAGCCCCGGCUAACUACGUGUCAGCAGCCGCGGUAAUACGUAGGGGGCGAGCGUUAUCCGGAUUUACUGGGUGUAAAGGGAGCGUAGACGGUUAAUCAAGUCUGAAGUGAAAGCCCGCGGCUCAACUGCGGAACGGCUUUGGAAACUGAGUAACUGGAGUGCUGGAGGGGCAGGCGGAAUUCCUGGUGUAGCGGUGAAAUGCGUAGAUAUCAGGAGGAACACCGGUGGCGAAGGCGGCCUGCUGGACAGUAACUGACGUUGAGGCUCGAAAGCGUGGGGAGCAAACAGGAUUAGAUACCCGGGUAA
rnacentral:rRNA from 1 species